GAUGAACGCUGACAGAAUGCUUAACACAUGCAAGUCGAUGGGGAGGUGGUGCUUGCACCAUGGCAACCAUGGCGGACGGGUGAGUAACGCGUAAGGGACUUACCUGCAGGACUGGGAUAACAGGGGGAAACUCCUGACAAGACCGGAUAAUGUCAUGGAGCUGCAUGGCUUUAUGAUGAAAGGAGACGCCUGCGGAGAGCCUUGCGUCCUAUUAGCUAGUUGGUGAGGUAAUGGCUCACCAAGGCGAAGAUAGGUAGCCGGCCUGAGAGGGUGGACGGCCACAAGGGGACUGAGAUACGGCCCUUACUCCUACGGGAGGCAGCAGUGGGGAAUAGUGGACAAUGGGGGCAACCCUGAUCCAGCAAUUCUGUGUGCACGAAGAAGGUUUUCGGAUUGUAAAGUGCUUUCAGCAGGGAAGAAGUAAGUGACGGUACCUGCAGAAGAAGCGACGGCUAAAUACGUG
rnacentral:rRNA from 1 species